UACGUAGGGUGCGAGCGUUGUCCGGAUUUAUUGGGCGUAAAGAGCGUGUAGGCGGCUUGGUAGGUCCGCUGUGAAAACUCGAGGCUCAACCUCGAGAUGUCGGCGGAAACCACUUGGCUAGAGUCCGGAAGAGGAGAGUGGAAUUCCGGGUGGAGCGGUGAAAUGCGUAGAGAUCCGGAGGAACACCGACGGCGCAGGCAGCGUCCUGGCCGCUUGCUGACACUGAGGCACGAAAGCUGGGGGAGCAAACAGG
rnacentral:rRNA from 1 species